AUUGAACGCUGGCGGCAGGCUUAACACAUGCAAGUCGAACGAGUGGCGGACGGGUGAGUAAUGCUUUGGAAUCUGGCUUAUGGAGGGGGAUAACGACGGGAAACUGUCGCUAAUACCGCGUACCAUAGGAUGAGCCCAAGUGGGAUUAGGUAGUUGGUGGGGUAAUGGCCUACCAAGCCGACGAUCUCUAGCUGGUCUGGGAGGAUGACAAGCCACCUGGGGACUGAGACACGGCCCGGAUGCCUACGGGAGGGAGCAGUGGGGAAUAUGGCGCAAUGGGGGCAACCUGACGCAGUCAUGCCGCGUGAAUGAAGAAGGCCUUCGGGUUGUAAAGUUCUUUCGGGGAUGAGGCGUUAAUCACAGAAGAAGCACCGGCUAACUCCGUGCCAGCAGCCGCGGUAAUAC
rnacentral:rRNA from 1 species